GAUGAACGCUGGCGGCGUGCCUAAUACAUGCAAGUCGAGCGAACAGACGAGGAGCUUGCUCCUCUGACGUUAGCGGCGGACGGGUGAGUAACACGUGGAUAACCUACCUAUAAGACUGGGAUAACUUCGGGAAACCGGAGCUAAUCCCGGAUAAUAUAUUGAACCGCAUGGUUCAAUAGUGAAAGACGGUUUUGCUGUCACUUAUAGAUGGAUCCGCGCCGCAUUAGCUAGUUGGUAAGGUAACGGCUUACCAAGGCAACGAUGCGUAGCCGACCUGCGAGGGUGAUCGGCCACACUGGAACUGAGACACGGUCCAGACUCCUACGGGAGGCAGCAGUAGGGAAUCUUCCGCAAUGGGCGAAAGCUUGACGGAGCAACGCCGCGUGAGUGAUGAAGGUCUUCGGAUCGUAAAACUCUGUUAUUAGGGAAGAACAAAUGUGUAAGUAACUAUGCACGUCUUGACGGUACCUAAUCAGAAAGCCACGGCUAACUACGUG
rnacentral:rRNA from 1 species